rnacentral:rRNA from 1 species
GAUGAACGCUGACAGAAUGCUUAACACAUGCAGGUUGAACGUGAAAGCUCCUUCGGGAGUGAGUAGAGUAGCAGACGGGUGAGUAAAGCAUAGGUAAUCUUCCCUCGAGUGGGGGACAACUCGCCGAAAGGCGGGCUAAUCCCGCAUGAUGUCAUUUGCUUCAGGGUGAAUGACCAAAGGGGGGGCUUCUUCGGAACCUCCCGCUUGAGGAUGAGCUUAUGUCCUAUUAGCUUGUUGGUGGGGUAAUGGCCUACCAAGGCACUGAUGGGUAGCCGAGCUGAGAGGCUGAUCGGCCACACUGGAACUGAGACACGGUCCAG